ensembl:misc_RNA Y_RNA Y RNA
GGCUGGUCCGAAGGUAGUGAGUUAUCUCAACUGAUUGUUCACAGUCAGUACAGAUUGAACUCUUUGUUCUGCUCUUUCCCCCCUUCUCACUACUGCACUUGACUAGUCUUUA